UCACAGCCUUUUUAAUGGGCAUUGGUUUUGAGUUUGAGAGCCUUAGGUCCUGGUUUUCUACGCAGGUGGCUGGGCCUUACCCUUCCCAGGAGCUCUGGCUCAGUCGUCUGGGGUGGAGUCUGAGAAUUCGCAUUUCUAACAAGCUCCAGGUGAAUUUGUGCUGUGGCUGCUGGGCUCAUGGCUGCACCUUCUCCUUGAAACCCAAUUCAAGGACGGCCAGAUUGAUGCUUCCCAGACCUGCGUCCUUCUUGGUUACCAAAUGGUCACAUCCCUGAGCCUUCAGCUGCAGAAACUGCACAAGUGGUGUUGUGCUCCAAGGACCUGUGGUUGGUCUAAAGUUAGAAGUCAAGAAAGAAGUGGCUACGUGCAUCGCCCUGAGUCAUGGAACGCAUACAGAGAGAAGUAUGUGAAGUAGUUGGUCCUCCGUGAAGCUGAGGUGAAAAGGAAGUAGAGCAGGAGUACAGUUUCCUUCAGAGCGCUUCCAUCCUGUCUGGUUGCAAAGCACCUUCCUGGAUUGCCUUGAUAUAUUCAAAGGAUCUCCCACUGAACCUCCAUUUGGCUAGACUGCGUGGCUGGACAGUCCCCCUCAGAGCUGUCUCUGCCUCGACACCUGAGAUCACAGGAAAAUGGAAAUAAAACCAAAACACUUUUCAGGGCCAGUGAGCUGGCUCAGCAGGUAAAUGCACGUGGAGCACAAGCCUGGUGACCUAAAUUCAACGCUCAGAACCCACGAUGGAAGGAGAGAACUCUCUACUGGAAAAGGUCCUCUGCAAGUGUGCACACACACUCUCUCACCAUACACAUCAUAGAACACCCCCUCCCCCGGCAAAAAAGAUAUUGUGUCAAGGGUUCAGAAUUGUGCCCUCACUGAAAUGGUUUGGUCAAGGCUUAGCUCACCUUUUCUGAGUGACCUUUCUUGACCUCAGCCCGAUGCCAGGCUAGAAUAUUUUUCUGCUCCGCUGCCUCAACACACAUUACACUGUGCCUCACCUGUUGGUCCACCCCAUCUGAAAAUGGUCCCAGAAGCACCUUCGUCACAUGAGGAUGCCUGGAAUUCUCAUUGGCAACAGUCGCCCCUGCAAUUCUUGGGACUCGUUACCAUUCUGGUGCAGGAGCUCAAAACUAAGGCAGGGUCUGACUCCUGGCAAUGGUCAGAGGAACACCUCCCUGCUAUCCUAGGUGACACUUCUAGGCCUGGCUGUGCCACUACCAAACACUGGCCACCCAACCCAUCACACACAGUCCCACUCUGUGCAGGCCCAUGCUGGGCACACAUUCUUGACUGAGUUGGCCCAUGCCUUUCUUCUGAGGCUGAUGACCCACACAAGGCUUACCAGGGAGCUGGAAGAAGGGGAAGUUCCCAUCAAACAGAAUCCCUAAAAUAGCCAGUCACCCACAAAACCAUGAUAGAAGGGAAAGAAAAGCCAACUAGAUAUCAGCCCUUGUUUGGAAUGCGAUGUAGAAGGAAAGCUAUGUGCCAGCCCCACCCUGGCUAGAAAGUGGUCCAGGGAGAGGAUGCCAGGCCCAAGGAGUCAUGGGGGAAACCUGUCCUUCAGAGAGAAGCCACUGGGACAAGGGCUGGCCUUACAGAGGCCAGGUUUGCUGGUCAGGGGCCAGUAGCCUGCAGGGUUUGGUCCUCCUUCCAACUACCCCCAUGAGUCAGUUCCAGGCCAGCAGGCUUGAGGGUGGGGGGUCAGAGGCCCUGCUGGAUUUCAUCCUGGGCUGCAAGGAAAAGCUUUUUGGCCUUUCUGGUCUCUGAUGAACAAGCCAGGAGAUCUAAAAGCCAUCCAUCAGAGCCGCUGGCUUUCUUUACGAUAACCAAUCGCUCUCUGCCAGAAAUUCUUUUGGUAAGAACACUGACUUUCAGAGCCUUGGCUCCUCCUUAGCUCCCCCAGCAGCAGUGCUGUCUGGCCUGUGCUGAUGGCUAGACCACCAUGGGGCACAGUUCAGGGUCCAGAGGGUGGAGAGCCAGGUGCCCCUGCCCCUCCAGCACAGCUGGAGCUGGGCCUAGGUGUAUUUUCCAUAUAAAUACAUAUAUCUGCUCCCGA